rnacentral:rRNA from 1 species
AUUGAACGCUGGCGGCACGCCUAACACAUGCAAGUCGAGCGGCAGGGAGGUGAGUAGCAAUACUCAUUGUCGGCGAGCGGCGGACGGGUGAGGAACACGUAGGAAUCUGCCCUAUAGCGGGGGACAACCAAGGGAAACUUUGGCUAAUACCGCGUAAACUCGAGAGAGGAAAGCUGCCCGCAAGGGUGGCGCUAUAGGAGGAGCCUGCGUCCGAUUAGCUAGUUGGAGAGGUAAGAGCUCACCAAGGCGAUGAUCGGUAACUGGUCUGAGAGGACGACCAGUCACACUGGGACUGAGACACGGCCCAGACGCCUACGGGAGGCAGCAGUGGGGAAUAUUGGACAAUGGGGGCAACCCCGAUCCAGCGAUGCCGCGUGGGUGAAGAAGGCCUUCGGGUUGUAAAGCCCUUUAGGUUGGGAAGAAGUACGAUAGGUGAAUAGCCUAUUGUAUUGACGGUACCGACAGAAUAAGCACCGGCAAACUCUGUGCCAGCAGCCGCGGUAA